CCUACGGGUGACUGCAGUGGGGAAUAUUGCACAAUGGGGGAAACCCUGAUGCAGCGACGCCGCGUGAGUGAAGAAGUAUUUCGGUACGUAAAGCUCUAUCAGCAGGGAAGAAAAUGACGGUACCUGACUAAGAAGCCCCGGCUAACUACGUGCCAGCAGCCGCGGUAAUACGUAGGGGGCAAGCGUUAUCCGGAUUUACUGGGUGUAAAGGGAGCGUAGACGGCAGCGCAAGUCUGGAGUGAAAUCCCAUGGCUUAACCAUGGAACUGCUUUGGAAACUGUGCAGCUAGAGUGCAGGAGAGGUAAGCGGAAUUCCUAGUGUAGCGGUGAAAUGCGUAGAUAUUAUGAGGAACACCAGUGGCGAAGGCGGCUUACUGGACUGUAACUGACGUUGAGGCUCGAAAGCGUGGGGAGCAAACAGGAUUAGAUACCCUAGUAGUC
rnacentral:rRNA from 1 species